rnacentral:rRNA from 1 species
UGCCUUAGUAACGGCGAGUGAAGCGGCAAAAGCUCAAAUUUGAAAUCUGGUACCUUCGGUGCCCGAGUUGUAAUUUGUAGAAGGUAACUUUGGGGCUGGUCCUUGUCUAUGUUCCUUGGAACAGGACGUCAUAGAGGGUGAGAAUCCCGUGUGGCGAGGAUCCCAGUUCUUUGUAAAGUGCUUUCGAAGAGUCGAGUUGUUUGGGAAUGCAGCUCUAAGUGGGUGGUAAAUUCCAUCUAAAGCUAAAUAUUGGCGAGAGACCGAUAGCGAACAAGUACAGUGAUGGAAAGAUGAAAAGAACUUUGAAAAGAGAGUGAAAAAGUACGUGAAAUUGUUGAAAGGGAAGGGCAUUUGAUCAGACAUGGUGUUUUGCGCCCUCUGCUCCUUGUGGGUGGGGGAAUCUCGCAGCUCACUGGGCCAGCAUCAGUUU